AUUUGAAAAUUCAAUUCGAUUUUUUUUUCCGUUGGAAGUCAAUUUCAAGGCAUUGAAUUUUAUGAAAAAAUUUCAAGAAAAUGAAAUCGGAAUAAGUUGUGGAGGAUUUUUUAUUUUUUCUACAAAAUUUCCAAUUCAGAUAUACCAAUCGCUGUAUAACGUAUUCAAUAUAUUACUUCAGAUACGAGAUAUUUUUGAAGGAAUCGACAAAUCGUGUAAACCAAUUACAAAACCAUUAAUUAAUGCCACUAAAAGUCCCAACGUUUAGUUGAAUAACGUAUAGUAUAGAAGAAUUUACACGAAUAGCACUAUUGUUUUAUAUUAAUUGUAUAGAUUUCUUGUAUUAAUGUUUUCGAGUAAUAAAUUAGUUAACUGAUUUAGCAACGUGUCCUCUGCAUAAAAAGCAUGUGAAUUAGCCAUCAAGUCAGGAUCUCUGGUAUCAGUAUAGACUAGCAUUCUAAUUGCUACAUCAAUCGUAAUGAGUGGUUGAUAAAUUUUUAAUC